rnacentral:rRNA from 1 species
AAUAUUUAUUAUUAAUUUUUUUAAAUAAAGUAUUAUUUAUUUUUAUUAUUAUUUUAGAACCAAUUAAUUUUAUUAUAGUAAAUUAGUAUAGUGAUAGAAUUAAAUUAAAUAAUAUUAAGUAAAUUUUAUUUAUUGUACCUUGUGUAUCAGGGAUUAUUAAUUAUAAAUUAUUUAUUUAAUUUUCUCGAUUUUAUAAGAGUUAAUAAAUUAAAAUUUUUAUUGUGAAAUAAACAUUUAAAAUAUUUUAUUAGUAAUGAAACGUUAUUCGUUUAUAAAUAUAUCUGGUUUUUUAAGAAAAAAAUUUAAUUUUGUAUUUAAAAUAGUUAUAAUUUAAUUUAAAAGUAUUAUAUUAUUUAAAUAUUAAUAUAUAUUAGGAUAAGCUAAUAUAUAAAUUAAUAUAAAUUAAUAUAUAAUAAUAAUUUAUAGAAUUAGGAAUUUUUAUUGUAGUAUGUUAUAAUUAAUUAUUAGUUAUUAUUAUUUAUAUUGAUUUUAUUUUUUUUAUUAAAAUAAUUUAUUUAAUUAUAAAUAAAUUUAAUAAUGAUAAUAUUAGUAUAAUUUUUAUUUAUUAUUAUAUAUUAUAUGUAAGGUUAAAUAAAGGAAUUCGGCAAUUAAAUAUCUCGCCUGUUUAUUAAAAACAUGUCUUUUUGAAUAUAAUUUAAAGUCUAACCUGCCCACUGAAAUUUAAAUGGCCGCAGUAUUUUGACUGUGCAAAGGUAGCAUAAUAAUUAGUUUUUUAAUUAAAAGCUAGAAUGAAUGGUUGGACGAAGGUAUAACUGUCUCUGUUUAAAUUAAUUAGAAUUUAAUUUUUAAGUUAAAAAGCUUAAAUAUUUUUGAAAGACGAGAAGACCCUAUAGAGUUUGAUAAUUAUAUAAUAUAAUUAUAUUAGUAAUUAAUUAAUUUUAUUAGAAUAUUAUUUUAUUGGGGUGAUAGAAAAAAUUAAUAAACUUUUUUUUAAUUUAUACAUUUAUUUAUGAAUUAUUGAUCCAUUUUUAUGAUUAUAAGAUUAAAUUACCUUAGGGAUAACAGCGUUAUUUUUUUUGAGAGUUCUUAUCGAAAAAAAAGAUUGCGACCUCGAUGUUGGAUUAAAAUAAAUUAUUGGUGUAGAAGCUAAUUAAUUAGGUCUGUUCGACCUUUAAAAUUUUACAUGAUCUGAGUUUAGACCGGCGUGAGCCAGGUUGGUUUCUAUCUUUAAUAAAAAUUUAUAUUUUAGUACGAAAGGACCAAGUAUA